AUGGCGACUUCAAACAGGAGUGGUGGAACGGUUCCGGAAGCAAUGGCCAAUCCUCUGCCUCGGCUGCUGAGGCGUGCAGAGUCUGAGCAGAGAAAAGAAGGGGAAGGCACAUGCCCAUCAGUUGUCCAGUCUGGAACGCUCCGGGUGGGUCCGCAGGUGGCAGCCCCGAUGCAGCAGAUGGGGCAAGUUCUCGUGCUGGCGGCCACUAAGGACGGAAACCAAGAACCCCAAGGAGGAGUGGCCACUGGGCAAUCGGUUACGGCCAAAACGAGUGCAGAGCCUGCUGUGGUUGUGCCUCCUGUCGCUUCGGAGAAGAUAGGACCAGGAUCCCAAGGCGGUGGGGAAAUUGGGCCCCCGGAUGUGACCAAUCCUGUCGCACCGCGGGAAGAGCCGACACGUGCGUUGGCGAGCGCGCCCCCCCGUGUUCACGCAGGACACAGCGGCACAUGA
rnacentral:rRNA from 1 species